UACGUAGGGUGCGAGCGUUAAUCGGAAUUACUGGGCGUAAAGCGUGCGUAGGCGGUUCGUUAAGUCAGAUGUGAAAGCCCCGGGCUCAACCCGGGAACUGCGUUUGAAACUGGCAGGCUAGAGUUUGGCAGAGGGGGGUGGAAUUCCACGUGUAGCAGUGAAAUGCGUAGAGAUGUGGAGGAACACCGAUGGCGAAGGCAGCCCCCUGGGCCAAAACUGACGCUCAGGCACGAAAGCGUGGGGAGCAAACAGG
rnacentral:rRNA from 1 species